GUUGUCAUCUGCUGGUAUUGAAACGGGGUGUGAUUUGAGGGAAAUUUGCUAUCUUUAGCUGAUCGAGCGGCCGCUCAGAUGCGGGAUUGAUGAACAUUUUGAUUCCAAAGAUGAACUGCUUGUGAUUCCGAGCCUCUGGAACAUAUCUGUUGAGUCAUUUAACUGCAGCCAUGUUGGAACACCACCUUUAGUCGAACAAAUCGACCCCAGGACUUAUCCUUUGUAAGCCUAGUACCUAUUCUAUUGGUCUCUUUGGCCGAACCGCUAUCUUACGGGGGGUCUUAAACACACCAGCAUCAGUUGUCAAGCGAUGUUCGGGGGACAAAUACAGACACACAAAUACAUACAGUAAUCCCUCAACUAUCGCGAGUGUUACGUUCCGAAAUUCCCCGCGAUAAGUGAAAAUCCGCGAAGUAGAAACAGUACUCCUUGUAUGCGCGCACAUUUUGGGGGUGAGAGGUCUUGGUGACUGAAGAAUUCUGGUUGAGGAAAGAUGAGUAAGAAGAUUCCAUAAAUUUGGCUGCGAAGUAAAACAACAGAGAAAAACACUUGAAACAUCUUAACACUUCACGAUUUCUUGGAAAGGAACGUUCUGCUAAUUCGAAGAGGUCGUUAUUAUUACAACUACCACUAAAACCACUACUACUACCAACAACUCCACCACUACCACCACCACUACCACUACCACCACCAAGACAACAACAACAACAACAACUGCUACUACUACUGCUACUGCUGCUGCUGUUGCUAGUAUAUUAACCCUUUCUGUGAAGUUUGAUCUGGAAAGUGAUUUAGUAAUCACGUAUCAAGCCUCAAAAUGACGGCCAUAUCUUUUUUGUGAUGUUUGGUAAUUCGAAUUAGUAUUUUUGUAUUUUCGUUUAAAUAAUAUCUUCAAGAAAACUGUUAUCAAACGUGAUCAGGUGCACACUUCUUAAAGAAUCCCUGUAUAGCU